GGACCGAUAGCUCAGUGGUAGAGGUAAGGAUACCCAUCCCGAGGUCGCGCGUUCGAUCCGCGCUCGGUCCU